CCUACGGGUGGCUGCAGUCGAGAAUCUUCGGCAAUGGGCGCAAGCCUGACCGAGCGACGCCGCGUGCGGGAUGAAGGCCUUCGGGUUGUAAACCGCUGUCAGAGGGGAGGAAAUGCAUGGGAGUUCUCUCUCAUGUUUGACCUAUCCUCAGAGGAAGUACGGGCUAAGUUCGUGCCAGCAGCCGCGGUAAUACGAACCGUACGAACGUUUUUCGGGUUCACGGGGCUUGAAGCCUGGGUAGGUUGCUGGUGAAAGCCCUCGGCUCAACCGAGGAAUUGCGCCCAAAACUACCUGGCUUGAGGAAGAUAGAGGUAAGCGGAACUAAUGGUGGAGCGGUGAAAUGCGUUGAUAUCAUUAGGAACACCUGUGGCGAAAGCAGCUUACUGGGUCUUUUCUGACGCUGAUGCACGAAAGCUAGGGGAGCGAACGGGAUUAGAUACCCCUGUAGUC
rnacentral:rRNA from 1 species